CGUGUCGGUCGUCCGUCCCAGUGGUUUACGAUAGUGAAGGAAGAGGGAGUGUUCUUGUGUACUGCGCACAUACUUGGGUACUAUA